rnacentral:rRNA from 1 species
CAGUCGCCGCGGUAAAACGAAGGGUGCAAGCGUUAAUCGGAAUUACUGGGCGUAAAGCGUGCGUAGGCGGUGAGUUAAGUCCGUUGUGAAAGCCCUGGGCUCAACCUGGGAAUUGCAGUGGAUACUGGGUCACUAGAGUGUGGUAGAGGAUAGUGGAAUUUCCGGUGUAGCAGUGAAAUGCGUAGAGAUCGGAAGGAACAUCUGUGGCGAAGGCGACUAUCUGGGCCAACACUGACACUGAGGCACGAAAGCGUGGGGAGCAAACAGGAUUAGAUACCCGAGUAGUCCCUGUCUCUUAUAC